CAGCCCUCAACUCCCGGUCGGGUUGUCUCCCCGCCGGUCUCCCGCCCCCAGCUACCGGGUCCGCCAGGGUCAGGAGCCCGAGAUUCGCCGCCCGUCGUAGCGGCCCGCUUCGGCCCCUCGGGGCCCGGGGCUCUCCGGGACCUACACAGCCCGGGAGACUCCGGCGGGGCUGCCUGCCCUCGCCCGAGCCCGGGGGCCCAAGCUGCGGCAGCGGCUCCCAACGCCUCUGCUCGAGGAGAGCGGCGGCCUGGAUGCCCCAGCGCCCUCCCUGUCCAGUUCCUUGAAGGCCCCCAAGAGGGGCGAGGCCGGGGAGGUGCUGGAGCGGGGCCAAGUGAGCUUUCGGGGCCGCGGUUGAACUGGAGUCUUGAGUGCGCUGCGGUCAGUGGAGGCCCUUCCACCCUCGCCGCGCCCCGUGGGGAAUAGUCCCCCACCUCCCGCCAUGGCUGCAGCAGGAGGAGACGACGUCCUCCAUUUUGUCGGGACAACUGUGGGAACUUGGGACCCCUCAAAACCAAACCCCGUGGGGCCAGGACUUGUCCCGGAAGCCCCGACUGGGCUCUGCCAUUCGGACAAGGGAACAGCCCCAGCUGCCGGCGUCUGCGUCCGCGGGGCAGUACUGGUCGGGCGCGACGGUGGAGACACCCAGACGCAGCUCCCCGCCUCCAUCAACCAAGAUGGAGGGAGCUGCAGGCUCCCUUGGAGCUGGGCUCUCGCGGGUUGGAGGGGCUGAGGCCUGCCCUGGGGCGUCCCUGGGCGCCGCCGUCCUGUGCUAGCAGCCCGGGGCGCUGGCCCUGCCUAGGCCUUUUUACUGCCUGCCACCGUCUCCUGGUCCGGAAUGGUUGAUGGAGACUCCAUGGAGGCUCCCUCCACAGCCCGCUCUAUCGCGGGGCGCACCCGCUGCGGCCCCUGCGGGGAGCAGAAUCAGGGACAGAUGGCGCCCGGUGAGGGCGGGCCCCACAGGCCACCUCCACGAGGGGUCUUCUCUUUUGUUCCUCGUCUACACCUACGUCUUCGGCGGAUGUCAUGGUGCUGAACCAUUUCCCGGACUCCACGUAAAGAUGGAAGCGAUUCCGCUUUCGUCUCGCCCUGGCGGUUCUUAGUGGGAUUACAAUUGAGGAUGUUAGUUUGGAUGAAAGUUGGUGAAAUACUUACCUUAUGUCUGGAAAUACAGAUAAUGUGAUUUUUAAAAAA
rnacentral:lncRNA from 1 species